rnacentral:rRNA from 1 species
UACGGAGGGGGCUAGCGUUGUUCGGAAUUACUGGGCGUAAAGCGCGCGUAGGCGGAUCUGCAAGUCGGGGGUGAAAUCCCGAGGCUCAACCUCGGAACUGCCUUCGAUACUGCGGGUCUCGAGUCCGGGAGAGGUGAGUGGAAUUCCUAGUGUAGAGGUGAGAUUCGUAGAUAUUAGGAAGAACACCAGUGGCGAAGGCGGCUCACUGGCCCGGUACUGACGCUGAGGCGCGAAAGCGUGGGGAGCAAACAGG